CGGGAUCAGGCGGUUGCACCUCCUGACUGGAGCUGUUGCACCGCUUGGCAGAGCUCGAAGACUGAGCCUUUGGGCGGUGCUACUUCCUGUCAGGGGUGGUUGCACCUCCUGACAGAGCUCGAAGACCGAGCUCAGGCGGUUGCACCUCCUGACUGAGGCGGUUGCACUGCUUGGCAGAGCUCGAAGACUGAGCUCAAGCGGUGCUACC
rnacentral:lncRNA from 1 species